rnacentral:ncRNA from 1 species
AAAGAUAGAGGUGCGGUAAUUAAUAGUACUAGUAAUGAGUAAAAGCAGGAGGAUUUACUAAGAAAGGAAGUAUCGCCGAAGUUGUAUAAUUGAAGCUGAAAGGUUGUACGGCUGGGGAUGCAGAGAAUAUCUGUAUCACUGUCACAAAUUAUUUUGUGGUGAGCUAUCAUU